UGUUAAAAAUUUUAUUUAUUUCUACUAUUAAAAACUGGUAUAACUGAUGGAAUAAUCAAAACGUAUCACGUGUACCUCAUGCUGACAUACAAAGACCAAUUUAAGUUUAAUAGUAGAAAUUGAUAAAAUUUUUAACA
rfam:Gossypium hirsutum cultivar TM-1 chromosome 26, whole genome shotgun sequence